AAAGUCCUUUUAUCCGAAUGAAAGUACAAUUAGAAAUUGAAAUGACAAACACUACCACGAGAGCAAUAGUAAUCAAUACGGAUAUAAGACGCCGGCACACACAUCACUGCCGGGGCUUGGAUCUGAUACAGCAGUGAAUGUGUUAAUAAAGAUCUACUUACCAAGAAUUCGGUCAUCAUACUGCUAUCGUCGUAUUCAUCCAUUUUCUUCUAGAAUGCUUCCGUCCUGUGAACGGAAACGUAACUUCGAAUAUAAAACCUUCGACGAAACUUAACGCAAUCGUGAAGCAGGCUUUUCCUUCUUCAAAAUACUUGUCCCUUUAAAUUUGAAUAACAUUAAAAGUUUACAAAAUUUACGGUUGAUGAAUUUACGGUUGGUGAUGAUUGCUCAUCACUGUGCUGACAACAAAAUGCGAUCAAAUGGAACCAAACUAUGUUGAAGGUCAAUUAGAAAAAAGUGUGAAAACAUAGUAACGCUCACACAGCCCGACACCUGAUUCAUUCAUCAAACAGCGAAGUGAAGCACAUUUGCGUACGUUGUUAGCAUGAGUGUGAAAUAAGAACAACCUUCUUAUCAGGGCGCCUAGGAAGCACCAGGCACAGAAGAACAUCCAAGAAUCAUCUCGAAAUAUCGCCUUGAAAAAGGCCGUUGCCGUACGGAUUGAUUGAUUCCAAAAAUAAUCAGUCUAGCCCUGGAGCUGCUCACUGAUAGUUGGUUCUGCCGUUUGUGCUCGAUGUGUAACGUGUCUGAUCGGUACAAAAAAUGCCAUCCAUUGCCAUUCUGUUGCUAAUCGUUUGCGGCUUACUCUCACAUUGGGACUUCCUGCUUGCGCAAGAAGUAUCGUUUGCAUGGAGUGUAUUAGACUGGAAAGAGCUCUUUUACGCUGGUGGAGUGCGAGAUGAAUUUAUAAAGAUUGAUUUCUAUAGCCAUCUUUAGGCACCACCAUGCAACUAGCCAUUAUCACUGAACUUUUGUGAUGAGAAGAUAACAAGUUGAAGCUGUACAAACAUGAAGACGAAAUCGUUGCAAAUAGCAGAUAAACGAUGCAUAGGACCAGUGAAACCAAUCAAACAACAACAAAAAAUGGAUUGUAAAAUAUGGAAAAGUUACUUAAAUAGACAAAAACGUGCCGAUCAGUGAAAGACUUAUA